AGUAAGAUAAUAAUCCUCUUAACUAACUCGACUUCUAUCAAAAUGCAGCAAGCGUACUUUGGUCAGCAGCCCAUGCUGCCACCUGGCUGGCAGCUGUCGUACACUGCCGAUGGAAAGCCCUACUACAUCGAUCACAACACCAAGACCACCCACUGGAGUAUCCCCCCGACCGCCUACGAGCCGUACUACAACAACGGCCGCGGUCGCGGGGCGGGCUACCGUGGCGGCCGCCAGGGUAUCGAUAGGACGAAGAUGAAGUCAAAGAUGUGUAUUUACUGGGAGAAAAACGGUAACUGCGCAUGGGGCGAUCGCUGCGCAUUCGCGCACGGCGCCGAGGAGCUCCGUAAUCCCGCGAGUCAGCCUCGAAACGAUGCCCCAGCGAGCGCUUAAUGAGAUGGCGGCGGCAUACGUAAGAUAAGAAGAUAUGGAAAGCGGUACGUGCGCUUCUUACUUCAGCUUUGUGUCGGUGCGAUUACGUGUCUUUCUGUGUUCUUGUAUUUCCGCCCAGGACUUUGAUUUCAUCUAUUUACCUUGAGUUUGUAUGGCUCUCGUUCACGCCGAUCCUCUCCACUAUAGGACCGCGCAGCGAGCAGGCACGCGAGAGAGAACGGGGAAAUACACAUGCGCGAGGGCUGUGAAGCUUUAUUUAACGCCAAAAAGAUGAUCUGACCGAAAAAGAAAAGAAGACAGGAAAAAAAAUGGCGACCCAAGCAGAUGCACGGAGGGCGAAACCAUGGCAAAGUAAUGAGAAGAAAAGAGCUAAAAAUGCGUAAAAGAAGGGCAGACAGAAAACGAAAAAGGAACGUAAACGAUUACCGUAACUACCUCGCUCAGAUGAUGUGCGUGUGUGUGUUUGCGCACAUCUCUCUCUCUCUCGCUAUAUAUAUAUAUAUAUAUAUAUAUGUCGAUGUCUGUCUGUCUGUGCGUGUGGGUCUGUAAGGGCGUGCGCGUGUAUAAAAAGCACUGUUUUCUUAUCUUCUCUCUGUUUUUUUUUGUUCUAUUUUACUUUUCCAUUUUUCUUUGUAAAUCUAAGAUGAAAACCUGCGCUUCAAGUAGCCAUCCCAGUUUGUGCGCUCUAUAGUCUUUUCAAAAAAGGUUUUCGUGUGUCGGACUUCUGCACAGAAAAAGAAAGCGAAAUCAAAUGCUGAGGGAACUUUGCAGCGCCCCAGCUCAUCUCGAUUCCGUGUCCCUCCUUUUACGCGUCAUUUCUGCCUUCUUUCGGCUGUGAUGCGACGAUG
rnacentral:misc_RNA from 1 species